rnacentral:rRNA from 1 species
ACGAACGCUGGCGGCAUUCCUAACACAUGCAAGUCGAACGAGACCUUCGGGUCUAGUGGCGCACGGGUGCGUAACGCGUGGGAACCUGCCCUUAGGUUCGGAAUAACUCCCCGAAAGGGGUGCUAAUACCGGAUAAUGUCUUCGGACCAAAGAUUUAUCGCCUUUGGAUGGGCCCGCGUUGGAUUAGCUAGUUGGUAGGGUAAAAGCCUACCAAGGCGACGAUCCAUAGCUGGUCUGAGAGGAUGAUCAGCCACACUGGGACUGAGACACGGCCCAGACUCCUACGGGAGGCAGCAGUGGGGAAUAUUGGACAAUGGGCGAAAGCCUGAUCCAGCAAUGCCGCGUGAGUGAUGAAGGCCUUAGGGUUGUAAAGCUCUUUUACCCGGGAUGAUAAUGACAGUACCGGGAGAAUAAGCUCCGGCUAACUCCGUG